rnacentral:lncRNA from 1 species
UGCUGGCUAAAUUCACCAGUGUAAGAAAGUCACACUACCUAAACAUUGCAGCCUCCAGAUUAGACAGCAAGUAAAUUCUAAGCAAAAGUUGUUCUGGGAGAGUUACCUACUAAAAGGAAGAGCCUUUUUCAGGAAGUCUCCCUUCUCUGGAAAGGACUCCUGUUAAGCAGUAUUUUGCUUCUUGUCAAGGGCUUCUGUGAAAAGACCCCCAUACAUCCAAAGAAGGCAAAGACUAGAAAAGUAGAGUCAGUUUAAAGAAGGAAAGCAGCAGACACAGACAGCAGGUGUGAUUGGCACUAAGUGUAACAAACAGACGGGACUGGUGACAAACCUACCCAGUGGGACUGAAAGGUAUCAACCAUAAUUUGCAAGAGCAAUUAGCAGCAGAUAACAUAGUCAUCAAACUCAGCAGUACUGCUAAGAAUCUCCUAAUCAGUCGCAAUGUAGAUAUUUGAAGCUGAAAUAAUGCAAAAUUCCAGAAACAAACCACUAUUAUUUUGUGACUCAACCAGGAUCUGAACCCAAAAAAGAGGAAGUUCACGUGUUUAACACAAAUCUGUAAUAAGCAAUUGCCUAUACCCCAUCCAUAACAUACUUGGUUGGGUCAUUAAAGUCACAUAGACUUGCGCAAGACACACUCUCUAUGAAAUAUAAUGGAUAGGGAUACCUGAUCUUGAUGGGAAGCUUAACGAACUUAAAACUACUUUAAUCCACCCUUCUAAAUUGUUUUUCUUCAGUCACUUCCAGCUCUUAUUUGGACAUCAUCAUCCUUCCAUCUGAAGCAUGGCUUCUUUUUCAAUUCCAGACUAUUUUAGUUUGGUUGUCUUUUUUCCUUUUCCUUUAUCUUUGGAAUGAAUUUGAAGUAAGCCUGUAUGAGUCGUGUUUUUUGCCUUAUGAGGUCAUGGCUGUUUUGAUCUGGUAUUCAGCUGCCUAUCAUAAAAUUCUUCUUAAAUGGAGCCAUGACAUAAAUGUGUAAAUGAUCAGGAACCAUGUGAGUUACAAACCUUAUGCAUAUAAGAUAAUAUCUAACAAUUUUAAGUAAUAAAAUAUAUAAUUGUAUCA